rnacentral:rRNA from 1 species
UACGUAGGGCGCAAGCGUUGUCCGGAAUUAUUGGGCGUAAAGAGCUCGUAGGCGGCUUGUCACGUCGGGUGUGAAAGCCCGGGGCUCAACCCCGGGAGGCGGGUGGAUACUGCUGAGCUCGAGUCCGGAAGAGGAGUGUGGAAUUCCUGGUGUAGCGGUGAAAUGCGCAGAUAUCAGGAGGAACACCAAUGGCGAAGGCAGCCCCCUGGGCUAACACUGACGCUCAUGCACGAAAGCGUGGGGAGCAAACAGG